ACAAACAUAUUAUGUAUGAGUAAUCUAUGUCGAUCUCACUAAAG
rnacentral:tRNA from 1 species